GGCUGAAUGCCCCACUAACGGUCACUCUCGGACAGUUGGUUGCUUGUGGGCGGGGCCCACUGCGGCACUGACCAAUGGCUGAGCAGGACCAUGGCCAGUCCUGUGGUAAUCACUGCCUGGUAAUGGAGUGUGGGAUUAUGGGUGCACAGCAACAACAGCUGUGUGCUGAGGGCUAUACUCAGUCUCGCUCUGUUAACAAUAUCUAACAGUUUAUUGCCAAAGGGCUUCCCUGGUGGCUAGGCAGUAAAGAAUCUGUUUGCAAUGCAGAAGACGCAGGAGAUUGGGAUUUGACCCCUGAGUCAGGAAGAGCCUCUGGAGGAGAGCAUGGUGUUGAGCACAAAUUGAGCACAAACGGACAUAUACCAGAGGCAGCUUGCUACCCAGUCCAGAGCUCAGUGACAAGCAGGAAAUUCUGACAAGCCAUCUUCAGCAGGGGCAGAAGCAUUUCAUGAAGUAAAUUUGACUGUCAUACUUCCAAACAACUGUUAGAGACAUAUUAUUUAAAAUUUAUAUUUGACUAACCUCAAAUUAAAACUGAAAAAAAAAUUCUACAAAUAGUAGUAAGGACCCUCGUCUAAGGAAAGAGUAAUACACACGCAACAAGAAUAAGGAGAAUGAUCGGCAGAACACAGACAAGUCCUAAAAAGGCAGAGGCAACAUUUAAAUUCAUGUCUGCAAAUUCACUGACACUCUUGUCAUCUCAAGAUGGGUUUCUAAGUUCUACGCCCUUGAAUAUGGGUUGACCUUAAUGAUGGAUCCACCACGAGUAUAUGAUGAUAGGGACACUAUGUGACUUUCACAGUUGUGGGACAUACGGCAUCACAGAGGGCAGCAUGCCCCUCUCUUGGUUUGCAUGAGCAUAGUAAGUUGUUUCAGUCAUGUCUGACUCUUUUUGCGACCCUAUGGACUGUAGCCCAACAGGCUCCUCAGUCCGUGACAUCCUCCAGGAAAGAGUACUGGAGUGUGUUGCCAUGCCCUCCUCCAGGGAACCUUCCUGACCCAGGAACUGAACCCGUGUCUCUUAUGUCUCCUGGACUGGCAGGUGGCUUCUUUACCACUAUUUGCUGCCUGGGAAGCCCCUCGCUUGGUUUAAUGCUCUAUUACAAUCUUGAGAUUCUUAGCAAUUUUUGAACAAAAGACCCACAUUUUCCUUUUGCACCAAGCCCCACAAAUUAUAAAGCCAGUCCUGCUUCUGAAUCUGGGUCAUAAAGGCAAUACAGCUUUCACUUGGUAUUCUAGAACAUAAAUGCCUGAGCCCUAAGCUACCACACAAGCAGUCUGAAUUACCCUGAGGCCACUCUGCUAUGAGGAACCAAACUAUCCCAACCAAAGGGAAUGCGAGUGCUGAGACUACAUGAAGAGAACAGUGCCAGGUAGCACCCAGCUACUCAAGGCCCCUGAGUCCCAUUUCCAGCCACUGUCUGAUGUAAACAUAUGAGAGACCCAGAAUCAGAACUGUCCAGCUGAGCCCUCCCCAAAUUCCUUAUUGGAAAUUGUCAGAGAUGAUAAAAUGGUUGUUGAUGUUCUAAGUCUUUACGAUUUAGGCUAUUUAAAUUUAAAAAAAAAAAAAAAGUUAACUGGAACACUGGAAUAUGCCAGACUAGAUUUACUUCCUUAAAUCAUACCUUCUUAAUCUUUUUGUAUGCAGCAAAGGAGAGAGGAGCAGCUAAGAAACAGUAGAGACACUUUCUUUAGGCCUUUUCUCUGAGUCAGUGAGUGAGUGAAAAUCU
ensembl:lncRNA